GGGUUGUGAGGUUAAGCGACUAAGCGUACACGGUGGAUGCCCUGGCAGUCAGAGGCGAUGAAGGGCGUACUAAUCUGCGAUAAGCGCCGGUAAGGUGAUAUGAACCGUUAUAACCGGCGAUACCCGAAUGGGGAAACCCAGUGUGAUUCGUCACACUAUCAUUAACUGAAUCCAUAGGUUAAUGAGGCGAACCGGGGGAACUGAAACAUCUAAGUACCCCGAGGAAAAGAAAUCAACCGAGAUUCCCCCAGUAGCGGCGAGCGAACGGGGAGGAGCCCAGAGCCUGAAUCAGCAUGUGUGUUAGUGGAAGCGUCUGGAAAGGCGCGCGAUACAGGGUGACAGCCCCGUACACAAAAGCGCAUGUGCUGUGAGCUCGAUGAGUAGGGCGGGACACGUGGUAUCCUGUCUGAAUAUGGGGGGACCAUCCUCCAAGGCUAAAUACUCCUGACUGACCGAUAGUGAACCAGUACCGUGAGGGAAAGGCGAAAAGAACCCCGGCGAGGGGAGUGAAAAAGAACCUGAAACCGUGUACGUACAAGCAGUGGGAGCACCCUUUGGGUGUGACUGCGUACCUUUUGUAUAAUGGGUCAGCGACUUAUAUUCUGUAGCAAGGUUAACCGAAUAGGGGAGCCGGAGGGAAACCGAGUCUUAACCGGGCGUUAAGUUGCAGGGUAUAGACCCGAAACCCGGUGAUCUAGCCAUGGGCAGGUUGAAGGUUGGGUAACACUAACUGGAGGACCGAACCGACUAAUGUUGAAAAAUUAGCGGAUGACCUGUGGCUGGGGGUGAAAGGCCAAUCAAACCGGGAGAUAGCUGGUUCUCCCCGAAAGCUAUUUAGGUAGCGCCUCGUGAAUUCAUCUCCGGGGGUAGAGCACUGUUUCGGCUAGGGGGCCAUCCCGGCUUACCAACCCGAUGCAAACUGCGAAUACCGGAGAAUGUUAUCACGGGAGACACACGGCGGGUGCUAACGUCCGUCGUGAAGAGGGAAACAACCCAGACCGCCAGCUAAGGUCCCAAAGUCAUGGUUAAGUGGGAAACGAUGUGGGAAGGCCCAGACAGCCAGGAUGUUGGCUUAGAAGCAGCCAUCAUUUAAAGAAAGCGUAAUAGCUCACUGGUCGAGUCGGCCUGCGCGGAAGAUGUAACGGGGCUAAACCAUGCACCGAAGCUGCGGCAGCGACACUGUGUGUUGUUGGGUAGGGGAGCGUUCUGUAAGCCUGCGAAGGUGGCCUGUGAGGGUUGCUGGAGGUAUCAGAAGUGCGAAUGCUGACAUAAGUAACGA
rnacentral:rRNA from 1 species